AACGCAUAUUGCGCCUUCCGGUAUUCCGGAAGGCAUGCCUGUUUGAGCGUCAGUCCAACUCACAGUGGUUAUUGUUUUUUAGACGGUGAUUCAUUUGUGGUAUUGAGCAAUGGACAUGUAAACAUAUCCACGCUUAAAAUCAAUUGUCAUUUCAUGCUGGCUUGUGGAAUACUUAGUGUAAUAGGUUCAUCCAACUCCGCUACUAUUCUUUACAGUAUUGAAAUCGGCUAACAAGUUCUUGGCUUAGCCAACAACACUCUUCAUUUUGACCUCAAAUCAGGUAGGGAUACCCGCUGAACUUAA
rnacentral:misc_RNA from 1 species